rnacentral:pre_miRNA from 1 species
UCAUCAAGGCUAAAGGGAGAAGAGAGAGAGUACAGCCUUGCCAUGUACACACUUCAGAUAUCAUCAAUCUCUUAUGCAGUUAUAUGUGUGAGUGUGAGGCUGUACCCUCUCUCUUCUUCUCUUAGCUUUUUUGUUGC